AAGAAAUCAACUAACCACACUUAUAGUGUGAGAAAUAUGUGGUUGUGUGAUUGUGAGAUAGUUAAGCUUACCAACCAGUCGCCAAUAUUUACUCCUUGCAGAGGUUUCACAACCGUCAUCAUUAUAGCUCAAUGUUUAGGUUCAGGAUAGUGGAUCAGUAAGAGAAAGGUGUUAUACUAGAACCUUAAAACCAAACAUGCAUUUGAAAACUCCUUAAAACCAUCAACAUGCAAA
rnacentral:misc_RNA from 1 species